rnacentral:rRNA from 1 species
GAUGAACGCUAGCGGCAGGCUUAACACAUGCAAGUCGAGGGGCAGCACGUCUUCGGAUGGUGGCGACCGGCGCACGGGUGAGUAACGCGUAUGCAAUCUACCUUUUACAGGGGCAUAGCCCGGGGAAACCCGGAUUAAUAUCCUAUAGUACCAUUAUAUAGCAUUAUAUUAUGGUUAAAGUUUCGGCGGUAAAAGAUGAGCAUGCGUCCUAUUAGCUUGAUGGUAAGGUAACGGCUUACCAUGGCUAUGAUAGGUAGGGGUCCUGAGAGGGAGACCCCCCACACUGGUACUGAGACACGGACCAGACUCCUACGGGAGGCAGCAGUGAGGAAUAUUGGACAAUGGGCGCAAGCCUGAUCCAGCCAUGCCGCGUGCAGGAAGACGGCCCUAUGGGUUGUAAACUGCUUUUAUACGGGAAGAAACACCCCUUCGUGAAGGGACUUGACGGUACCGUAUGAAUAAGGAUCGGCUAACUCCGUGCCAGCAGCCGCGGUAAUACGGAGGAUACCG